UUAAGUUUUGGGGGGUUUUCCCCCUUUAGGGGGGAAAUUAACCCCUUAACCCCCCCCCCGGGGGAAUCGGGCCCCAAAGGUAAAACCAAAAGAAAUUGGGGGGGGCCCCCCAAAGGGGGGGGCCCUGGGGUUUAAUUUGAAAAAACGGAAAAAACCUUCCCGGGUUUUGAACUCCUUUGACCACCCUAGAGAUAGGGUUUUUCCUUUGGGGGCAAGGGUGCCAGGUGGGCCAUGGUGUUGUUCAGUUGGGUUCGGGAGAUGUUGGGUUAAUUCCCCCAAGGAGCCCAACCCUUGUUUUUAGUGCCCUUCAUUUAGUGGGCCAUUUUAAGGGGACUCCGGGGGCCAACCCGGAGGAAGGGGGGGAGGAGGUCAAUUCUUCAUCCCCUUUAUGCCUUGGGUUCCCCACGUGUUCCAAUGGCGGUUCCAAAAGGUGCCAAACCCGGAGGGGGGAGUUAUUUCAAAAAACCCUUUUCCAUUUGGGAUGUUGGGUGCCAAUUGCCUUCCAGGAAGCGGGAAUCGUUGGUAUUCGGGGUUCACCAUGCCCCGGGGAAUACUUUCCCGGCCUUGGUCCCCCCCCCCCGCCCCCCCCGGGGAUUUGGUACCACCGGAAUUGGGGGGGGUACCUUUUUGGAGCCAGCCGCCUAAGGUGGGACAGAUGAUGGGGGAAGUC
rnacentral:rRNA from 1 species